rnacentral:rRNA from 1 species
GAUGAACGCUGGCGGCGUGCCUAAUACAUGCAAGUCGAGCGAACAGACGAGGAGCUUGCUCCUCUGACGUUAGCGGCGGACGGGUGAGUAACACGUGGAUAACCUACCUAUAAGACUGGGAUAACUUCGGGAAACCGGAGCUAAUACCGGAUAAUAUAUUGAACCGCAUGGUUCAAUAGUGAAAGACGGUUUUGCUGUCACUUAUAGAUGGAUCCGCGCCGCAUUAGCUAGUUGGUAAGGUAACGGCUUACCAAGGCAACGAGGCGUAGCCGACCUGAGAGGGUGAUCGGCCACACUGGAACUGAGACACGGUCCAGACUCCUACGGGAGGCAGCAGUAGGGAAUCUUCCGCAAUGGGCGAAAGCUUGACGGAGCAACGCCGCGUGAGUGAUGAAGGUCUUCGGAUCGUAAAACUCUGUUAUUAGGGAAGAACAAAUGUGUAAGUAACUAUGCACGUCUUGACGGUACCUAAUCAGAAAGCCACGGCUAACUACGUG